rnacentral:rRNA from 1 species
AUGUCUAGCAAUCCAUCCUAUCAUCAGCAGCUGGGGUUGGAUGCCAUGAACACUUGCUUCUUCGGCGGCAGCAGCAUGAUCGGCUCCGAAGCACCGUUCUUCUACCCAGGCAUGCCGCACGAUGCGGGCUUCGGCUCCGGCGGCGCGGAUGUGGCCGCGCAUUUCAUGGCCAGCAGCGCGAUGGUCACUUCGCCGGCGAACCAGCUCGUCUGGCCCGCCGCUGCUCCUUCGCAGGACAGCCACCAAGCGAGCAUGUCGACGGAGGAGAUGAACGACGACGCCUACGCCGUCGCCGGCGAGAGCUGCAGCACCGUGCACUCCAUGCUCCCUUCCGCCUCGGCAGACUUCUUUCAGUACGGGUCGGGAGUGGUCACCAUCGCCCAGCCGUCGAAGAUGGCCAAGCUCGUUGCUGGAGAGCCACACUGCGGCUGGCUCUACGAUGGACCGAGCGCUGCCUCGACCCACCAGCCGUAUUACCUGACGGCGUUCUCCGGCGGCAGCGACUUUCCGGACGCUGUCGCCGGCGCGGCGAGCGGCCUGUCGCUCAGGCUAGGUGCCCAGUCUUCCUCGGUCACCAUGGCGAGCAUACCGGAGCAGUCCUCGGAGGUGAGCUGCUCCGGCCUGACCCACGUCAACAGCGAAGGCUUUGGCUACCAGCAGCCUCAGGCCGUGAGGGCUCACGCCGGCGCCGGCGCCGGCCUGUUCCAUCUGCCUCCUUACGGCGAUGUCGGUGCCGGCGACGACGAGCUGCGGCACGUGUACCCACAGAUGUACUCGAGGCCUCCGCACUUCUCGCAGGUGCUGCCGCGGUCGGGAUACGCGCACAUUGCCCAGGAGCUGCUGAAUGGGUUCGCCGGCUGCGUGCUGAAAGACCUGGCCGAGAUGCCUGACGAUUCAGUCAGCGGCAUUGGCAGCGAGGCGAGCCUCCUGCUCUCGUCGAGCUGCUCGGCGAGGACGCCGUCGUCGGUGAGCUCCAACCAGCUGAUGCUGCCCUCCGACGAGGGCUCAGCCGACGGCGGGAGGUGGAUGGAGGCUCAGAGGGUGAGGAACGAUCUCCUGAAACUGCUACAGCUGAUGGACCAAAGGUGCAACCGGUGCUUCGACGACAUCCAGACCACGGCGUCCAAGUUCAGCAGCGUGGUGGCGCACCCAGGCGGCGGCGGAGGCGGCGCCAUCGCGCCGCCGCCGUUCGCGCAGCGCGCGAUGUCCGCGGUGUACCGGAGGCUGAGGAAGCGGAUCACGGGCCUGAUCGUGGCGGUGGCGCAGAGGUCCGGCGGGGGCGGGGGCGGGGAGCCGUCGUCGCUGGCCGACAAGGAGCGGAGCUGGGAGUCGGCCUUCAUCCAGAAGCACUGGGCGCUGCAGCAGCUCCGGCGCGGCGACCAGCAGUCCUGGCGGCCCCAGCGCGGCCUGCCGGAGAAGUCCGUCGCCGUGCUCAAAGCCUGGAUGUUCGAGAACUUCCUCCGCCCGUACCCGAAGGACCACGAGAAGGACAUGCUGGCGGCGAGGAGCGGGCUGAGCAGGAGCCAGGUCUCCAACUGGUUCAUCAACGCGCGCGUCCGGCUGUGGAAGCCGAUGAUCGAGGAGAUGUACGAGGAGCUCAAGAGGAGCUCCGGGCGCGGCGGCGACGCUGAGCUUCCGAGCAGCAAAGACGUCGUCGGCUAG